rnacentral:rRNA from 1 species
ACCCGCUGAAUUUAAGCAUAUAAGUAAGUGGUGGAAAUUAAACCAAAUGGGAUAUCUUUAGUAAUUGCGAAUGAACAAGGAUAUGCUUAGCUUGACAAAUGGAGCUAUUGGCUUUGAAUUGUAUUGUGGAAAUGUAUUACCAACAGAGGUGCAGGUGCCAGCCUAUUGAAAUAAAGCGUCAAUGAGGGUGAGAAUCCUGUUUGUCAUGUGCAGCCCUUUGUGCACGGUGUAUAUUUGCUGAGUCACACUCCUUGGCAUUGGAAUGCAAAGUGGGUGGUAAGUUUCAUGUAAAGGUAAACAUGCAAUUGAGACUGAUAGCACACAAGUACCAUGAGGGAAAUAUGAAAAGGACUUUGAAAAGAGAAUUAAAUGAGUUUGUAUUUGCUGAACACAAAGUAAACAGACUUGAUUUGCUUGGUGGGAGUGUUGCACUUGCUUGACAAGAGCUUUGGGCUGUGGGUGUAAUGAUUCUUUCUUUGCAUGCCAGUUUCUAUUUGUACAUCUGAUUACCUUUGCACAUGAAUGAUAAGUCUCCUGUGGGGGGUGGAUUGCAUGUGCAUGUAAUGAUUUGUGUUUUGAUAAAUGUGUCUGGUGUAUGUGUGUGUUCCUGUGCUUGGGGAUGCUUCCUUCCUUGGACUUACAAGCCCUGACACACACAUGCUGGCAAAAUGCUUCUGCUUGACCCGUCUUGAAACACGGUCCAAGG